rnacentral:rRNA from 1 species
CCAUACUUGGCUGAGAACACCAUAUCCCGUCCGAUUUGUGAAGUUAAGCAGCCACAGGCUUGGUUAGUACUGGGGUCAGUGAUGACUCGGGAACCCCAAGUGCCGUACGCCAAUAAUAAUUAUCUUUUUU